rnacentral:rRNA from 1 species
GAGCGGAUGAAGAGAGCUUGCUCUCUGAUUCAGCGGCGGACGGGUGAGUAAUGCCUAGGAAUCUGCCUGGUAGUGGGGGACAACGUCUCGAAAGGGACGCUAAUACCGCAUACGUCCUACGGGAGAAAGUGGGGGCUCUUCGGACCUCACGCUAUCAGAUGAGCCUAGGUCGGAUUAGCUAGUUGGUGAGGUAAUGGCUCACCAAGGCGACGAUCCGUAACUGGUCUGAGAGGAUGAUCAGUCACACUGGAACUGAGACACGGUCCAGACUCCUACGGGAGGCAGCAGUGGGGAAUAUUGGACAAUGGGCGAAAGCCUGAUCCAGCCAUGCCGCGUGUGUGAAGAAGGUCUUCGGAUUGUAAAGCACUUUAAGUUGGGAGGAAGGGCAUUAACCUAAUACGUUGAUGUUUUGACGUUACCGACAGAAUAAGCACCGGCUAACUCUGUG